UGCGUAGGUGGCGCCGUAAGUGGGUGUGAAAUCUCGGGGCUUAACUCCGAAACUGCAUUCCAUACUGCGGUGCUUGAGGACUGGAGAGGAGACUGGAAUUCAUGGUGUAGCAGUGAAAUGCGUAGAGAUCAUGAGGAAGACCAGUGGCGAAGGCGGGUCUCUGGACAGUUCCUGACACUGAGGCACGAAGGCCAGGGGAGCAAACG
rnacentral:rRNA from 1 species